AUACGUAGGGGGCGAGCGUUGUCCGGAUUUAUUGGGCGUAAAGGGUGCGUAGGCGGCCUUGUAAGUCAGAUGUGAAAGAUCAUGGCUUAACUGUGGUAAGCAUUUGAAACUGCAGGGCUUGAGUACAGGAGAGGAGAGUGGAAUUCCUAGUGUAGCGGUGAAAUGCGUAGAUAUUAGGAGGAAUACCAGUGGCGAAGGCGACUCUCUGGACUGAUACUGACGAGGAGGCACGAAAUCGUUGGGAGCAAACAGGAUUAGAUACCCUGGUAGUCCACGCUAUAGACGAUGAGUGCUAGGUGUCGGGGGUCAAACCUCGGUGCCGCAGUUAACACAUUAAGCACUCCGCCUGGGGAGUACGGCCGCAAGGCUGAAACUCAAAGGAAUUGACGUGA
rnacentral:rRNA from 1 species